rnacentral:lncRNA from 1 species
UUUAAAACACCAUGAAUGUAACCAUUGGCUAAAAGACUUCCUCACCCUGUUCAGAGUCAUGAGAAUACAUUCCAACUAUGUUGAAAAACUAAGUUUGGGGUAAAGACCCCAAAAGCUCUCAAAGCCCUAGAAAGUGCAAAAACAAAAGAAAAAGAAAAAUUGAUGAAUCGAAAAAAAAAAUAAAAAAAAAUCAAAUAAUCGAUGAUUCAAAAGAAAAAGCACGAAAAAGGGCAAUCGGUAAAAAAUCAAGAAAAGAAAACCGAGGAAAUAAAAGAAACAAACACAGGAU